GUGACACCACAGAGAACAAGUGCUCUCUCCCACAAUCCUCUGCGGUGGUAAAGUGACCUCUGCUGCCAGCUCUAAGCUGAAAACAAUGGCUCCUCCAGUUGCGGUUUCGCCUUUGAUCAAGACAGCAAGGUAUUCAGCCUUGAUUGCUGGCAUCAUCUACGGCAAAAAGAGAUAUGAUCACCUGAAGCCCAUCGCUGCAGAGGAGAGGAGGAUCGAGGAGGAGGAGAAAAAGGUUCGGGAGGAGCAGGAGCGCAUUGCCAAGCAGCUAGCAGAAGCAAAUGAAGACACCAUUCUGAAGUAAAGCUGGCGUAUUGUGUAAGGAUUUCCAUGUGCAAUUCCCUACCUCUCCUUCCUUUUCCUGGAGCAACAAGGCAAAGUCGAAUUGCAAUGAGUCACACACUCCUGUGUUGUGGACCUGCUCACUGUUCCCUCGAUCAGAACGACACUUCUCUGGACCACACAGUGACUUUAAGUUACCUACACGAUAUGAAAUAAGGCUCUUGAACUCAGCAUUGUAAUUUUGCAAAAGCAGCUGCACUCAUAAAUUAAGUUCAUGUUUGUAGUGAAACAAUUUCUUCAAUACAGAAGUACCUGAUGUACAUGAA